GUCUUAGGCCCCCUUUACACGAGCCCGGGUUGAUUUUCAACCCGGGUCAGCACGCCACAGGUGGUUAUUUUUUUAUUCUGUUUACAUGAACCCGGGUUGACGACAAUUUUGCCAACCCGGGUCAGCAAUUCUCAACCCGGGCUGACUCGAGUAAUAUUCCGAGCAACAGACUGGAGCAGAGUGUAUUUUUGGCGCUUAUAUCCCUUAAAAUCCCUUAUAGACCUCAUACGAUAUUAUUACGAUUAUAUACCUUUUAGUUUUGGCGCUUAUUAUAUCUUUCAGUAUACAAUUAUAUCCCUUUUUAUCAAGGAUUUAACCGUAUAGCAACUUAAUUCUGCCUUAAAGACGUUUUCUUCCCUUUUUUUCCUCGUUAUUUUGUACUGGAAGAUCUACUGGGCAAAAAUAUUCGGCAUCGAACGCCAACGCCAGACCUUCGCGCAACUUUGAAUACAUUGCGACAACAUCGGAGUUGAAAUCUACAAUUUUAUAAUUCAUCUCCGUCUUAUAAUCCUUCAGAGAAAGGAUUAGGUGAUCAAUAAUUUCAGACCACCACUGAAACGCGGGUUGUGCAUUUUUUCUUUUGGUUUUGGACAGUUUUUACUCGCCAUACUGUAUGAUUUUAUAUGUCUGUACCAAACAGAGACGGAGAAAAUACGCACGCAAAAUGUUGAAAUGCGAUAUGACGCUAGGUGCAAAGUUCACAAUCAGGAAUUUACCGCACUUUACAUGAUCCCGGGUCAAGCCAACCCGGCUUUACAUGAAGAAAUGAGUAAACUUUUCACGCGUUCACACCUCGCCAACCCGGGUCGACCCGGGUCUCGAGAAGGGUGCCCCGGGUUGGCGAGGUG